UAAGAAGCCGUUUCUGUAAGAUUGUG
rnacentral:piRNA from 1 species